rnacentral:lncRNA from 1 species
GAGUUGGGCAGGAGUCCCGCAGAUACCCUUUGGUUCGCCUUAGGGAGAAGUAGGGGCGUCACAAUUUCCCCAUAAAUGCUUCAUUUCCAACCUACAAUAUAUUACCAAUCACACAUACGGUUAAUAAGUAAUAAAAUAUAUCUAAUUAGGCCACAAUAUCCCUCAAUCAAAGGUAAUUAGAAACUUAAGAGCCACCAUUAGAAAAACCCCCAAUGAAACCCUAGAAACCGGAAUUCAUUCCC